GGGCGUUGUACAUUUUCAAGUGAAAAAUAAAUAAUAAUAAUUAAGAAACAACAUUCUUCACAUUUGACUCUGAAACCAUUCUUUUCUUUUUGAGAAGUCAGUGGCACCAAUGAAAGGCAAUGUAAUACAGUGGUAAAGAGCAAGAACUGUGGACCAGAAUUCUGGGUUUGCAUCCCAGCUUCCCCAAUGUCUGUCUAGUUGUAUCAUAGUGAGUUUCUUACUUUCAAUGUUUAAAUUUCCUCAUCUGUAAGAAGGGGAUAAUAGUUCCUGUCAGAGUUGCUAUAAGGAUUAAAUCAGUUGCUGCAUGUAAAACAAACACUUAAGACGGUACCUGGCACACAGGACACAUUUCUUAAAUCUUUUUGCCAUUAUUAGUGUUCCAUAGCGCUUGUUUUAGGACAUUUUUUCAAAUAACAGAAAGUAAUCCAUUUGUGGAUCAUCAACUCAAUUUAGUGGAUAAAAACCAGCAUUUAAAAAAUGACACUAAAAAACAUAUUUGCAUGAUAUGUAAGGGUAAGUAUUGUUAUACUUGUAUGUACAUGUACAUGUUAUACAUGUUAUGUAAGGGUAAGUAUGUUACUUGUAUGUACACAUAAACGUACAUACAAGUCUAUAGGUCAUGAUGUUAAAAAAUAUAUCUUACUAUAAAUAUCAAAAAAAAUCAAAAGCCACCAAUUUAGGAAAAGCUAGGUUUAGAUUUAUGCAAUAUAGUAUUUUUAAAUGGUGAUAAAAAAUAUCUAUGUAGCUUAAUUCCUAAAGUAAUGUAAGAUGAUGAUCCUGCCACUCAUAUUGUUUUACUCCAGUGAAGCAACUCUGCCUAUCCACCGGGGGAGAUUUGGCAAUGUCUGGAGACAUUUUUUAUUGUGUCUACUGGGCAUGGAGGUGCCACCAAUCAGUCAGUGGGCAGAGAGCAGGGAUCCUGCUAAACUGCCCCACAACAAAAAAUUAACCAACCCCAAAUGUCAAGCGUGCCGAGGAUGAGAAAUUCUACUUUUACGUGUGAUACAUCAUUGCUAACGUGAUUAUGAUGUGAUAUGCAAGUAUGUGAUGACAUACAAGUUUUAUAAUAUGAAAACGAAUCUGCUGAAUCAUCGAAAGGGACCUAGUCACUGCUCCCAGUUCCAUAAGGCUUUUCAAUUUGCUCAAGAUUAGGAAUUGUAAGUGGAAUGAAGCAGCACUUCCAGUUGACAAAUGGAUCCAAAGGUAAUCCAAUGUCUUUUAAAUUAAG
rnacentral:lncRNA from 1 species